CACUUGUACGCGACUCGCCAACGCCUUUUCCCCCGGGCCGCUGCGAUCGCGCCCUACCGGGAGACCGGCGACGGCGAAUCGACGAGCUCGCCAUGUCGGCCUUAGCGGCGGGCGGUGGCGCCGCCGCCGAUGGUGCCCCGGAGGCGACAGCGGCGCCGACAAGGAGGGAGAAGCGGAGGGAGCGGAAGAAGGAGCGCCGCCGGAGGGCGCGGAGGCAGGCCGCGGCGCGCGCUCGUGCGGCGGUCGAGGCGGAGGCACCCGCGGUCGACCCCGAGGAGGAGCGCCGACUCCUUGAGAUCCAGGAGGCCGAGGCGGCUGCUGAGUCCGAGCGUGCGCUCCGCGCCUUCGAGGACGCCGAGCGCCGGUGGCUCGAGGCCGCCGCUGCCCGCGCCGCAGAGAAGGCCGCGGCUGCUGCGGCCGAAGAGGAUGCAAGGGCUGCGGAGGCUUCCGCUCGAAACAAGCCUAAAGAUGGCCAAGGAAACCAGUCAGAAGAAGAUAGUGAAUGGGAAUAUGUUGAAGAUGGUCCAGCAGAAAUUAUAUGGAAAGGAAAUGAGAUCAUUGUGAAGAAGAAAAAGGUUAAAGUACCAAAGGGGUCCAAGGAAAAGCUGCAAAUUCAGGAGGAAGAUAGACCUACAUCAAAUCCGCUCCCACCACAGUCUGUUGCUUUGGCUGCUCAUAGGAGAGAACCUUCUUUGUCUGCUCAAGAAGUACUUGACAAAGUUGCUCAAGAGACUCCGAAUUUUGGAACAGAACAGGAUAAGGCCCAUUGUCCAUUUCAUCUCAAGACAGGGGCUUGUCGCUUUGGAUUGCGCUGCAGCAGAGUUCACUUUUACCCUGAUAAAUCAAUCACAUUGCUAAUGAAAAACAUGUAUAACGGUCCAGGCCUUGCUUUGGAGCAAGAUGAAGGGCUUGAGUUCACAGAUGAAGAGAUUGAACAAAGCUAUGAAGAAUUUUAUGAAGAUGUACAUACAGAAUUUCUGAAAUUUGGUGAACUUGUGAAUUUCAAGGUAUGUAGAAAUGGGUCUUUCCAUCUUCGAGGGAAUGUUUAUGUGCACUAUAAAUCGUUGGAUUCAGCUCUUCUUGCCUACAGCAGCAUGAAUGGACGCUAUUUUGCUGGAAAACAGAUAACAUGUGAAUUUGUUGCUGUGACAAGAUGGAAGGCGGCCAUAUGCGACAUGUUCACAUGGAGUUGCUUGUAAUUUUAUUCACUGCUUCCGCAAUCCUGGAGGAGAUUAUGAGUGGGCUGAUUGGGACAAUCAUCCUCCUAGAUACUGGAUUAGGAAGAUGGUUGCUCUUUUUGGUCCCUCAGUUGAUGAGAUGAAUGAAAAGGCGAGUCAUACCCCAGAUUUUAGAAGUUCAGUGGGCUCUGAUAGGAAGAAACUUAAAAUUUCCAGCAACAGAUAUGUUUCAAGAGGAUCUAGGAACGAAGAUGUGCAUACACGACACUCUCCUCAAGAUUAUUCACAUUCUAAGCAAGAACGAAGUAGCCACAACAUGAAUUAUGAGUACAGACGACAUAAAAGAGAUUCUUCAGCAGCAGAUAAGCACCGAAGACAAGAUGUUGGAGAUACAAAUGACAGACAAUUUUCAACAAUGGGAAAUGACAGCAAGUCCCAUAGGCAUAAGCAUGAAGAACGGCAUAGAAGUGAUCAUGGUAAUGGAGAAAAAGAAGAUGACAGCAAAACUAGGCCUAGGAAGCACUGUUCUGUUAGGCGUGGAAGUUUGGAGGUUGGAUAUUCUGACUGGUCUCCAGACUUCACUGGUACAGACAACAGCAAGGGUCCUUCAGGUGAGAAGUCCACUAGCAGGUAUGAUGAUGCCAAAGGGAGCAGGAGGGGAUCAUCAGAGUAUUACAAUCUUGAAAGACACCACUCUACAGCUCAAAAACAAUCAAGAAAUGAGCACAGCACUACAAGACGCAGGAGACAUGACAUUGAAGAUUAUCAUGAUGAAAAAAAUGACGGAAGAGGGGAAUCCCGAAAGCAUAACCGCCAUGAAUCAAACGACCGGUGGGUAGCCACAAAUAGUGAUGUUGAUUCGGAUGUAGAUAGAUAUCAGAGUUCAAGCUGUAAAGGCACUAGGUUGGGAAGGAAGGAUGAUGAUCCAGGCAUUGAAGUUCGGCAUCAGAGGUCAGGUAGAAGUACGAAGGAUGACAAGAGAAGGAAACAUCACAGUGGAAACAGGUGGCACAGCGGCACUGAAGAGGGUACCUCAGAUUCAAGCGGUGGAGAUUUGAGCUCUGAUUCGUGGAGUGGUAGAUCGAGAAACAGUGAGAACUUUUCAGCACACAGGUCAAAGAGGAAGCGAAGUCGGAGCAAGGAGUCUGGUUAUUAGUUGUAAAUAGUUAGCCUCUUUUUGGAGCACAUGAAUUCGUAGGAAUCGUGCAGAAAUUUUACAGGAAUCGGUUUAACUUCGCACGAAAAAUUUCCCGCACUCCAAACAUGCGGUAGUGGCUUCUUGAUAUUCUACUGUAUGCUUUCACCGUUUCGCUUACAAGUUCUGUUACUGUACACUGCGGUAGUGCGGUUCAUAGCAUUGCUCAAUUCCGGACCCGUUCUCAAGCGUCUGGCUAUGUUAAUACAGGUAUUAUUUCCGUGCUAUA